rnacentral:tRNA from 1 species
GCGGGUAUAGCUCAAUCGGCAGAGCGCCAGCCUUCCAAGCUGGAUGUACGGGUUCGAGACCCGUUACCCGCU